CAACGCGUUUUGGGUGCAUCGGUUGUGGAUCUCAUAAGAACUCCACAAUUAAAUGUAUUCGACUGAAAGUAUUACCAAGAUGGGUGACCUCCUACAAAGUCUCCACUCACGUAAC
rfam:Helianthus annuus linkage group 9, whole genome shotgun sequence.